rnacentral:lncRNA from 13 species
GCUCAUGCCUGUAAUCCCAGCAAUUUGGGAGGCAAGGGCAGGCAGAUCACAAGGUCAGGAGUUCAAGACCAGCCUGACCAACAUGGUGAAACCCUGUCUCUACUAAAAAUAUAAAAAUUAGCCAGGCGUGGUGGUACAUACCUGUAAUCCCAGCCACUCAGGAGGCUGAGGCAGAAGAACUGCUUGAACCUGGGAGGCGGAGGUUGCAAUGAGCCAAGAUUACGUCACUGCACUCCAGCCUGGGCGACAGAGUGAGACUCUGUCUCAAAAAAAAAAAAAAAAGGAAAAGAGAGAAAGAAAGAAAGAAAAAGAACCUGAUUCUCAGUGGCCUCUUUGAGCAGCUAUUCCUGGAUUUUGAUUCUGUGAGGUACAUGACUUUCCAAUAGUUCUGAGAUUGGGCACUGCAGGAGAGCCUAUGUUCUUCAUCCCAAGACCACCCCAUGGGAGAGAUGGGCUGGACUGUCAAGUGUGUUUCUGGAUUCCCACUUAAAGAGGCCAGGUUCUUUAUGCAGCCUCUGCCUUACAGCGUUCCUCUAGAUCAGAGCCCAGAAGAUGGCCUGGCAGAGUCAGGAUCAGUGAAGAGACAGAGUCUUGCUCUGUUGCCCAGGUUGGAGUGCAGUGGUGCAAUCUCUGCUCACUGUAACCUCUGCCUCCUGGGUUCAAGCGAUUCUCCUGCCCCAGUCUCCUGAGCAGUUGGGACUACAGGCAUGGACCACCACGCCCAGAAAGGAGAAAUUUGGAGAGACCCAGAGAAAGUGUGGCAAUGAGGCCACAGGUGGCAAACACAGAGAUGGUCAGCAAACCACUGGAGGUCCUCAGAGCAUCCACCUCCACCAGCACCUUGCUCGCAAACGUCUGGCCUUCAGAACUGUGAAAGAAUAAAGUUUCUGUGAUCUUCGGCCCCA